AUUGAACGCUGGCGGCAGGCCUAACACAUGCAAGUCGAGCGAGCGGCGGACGGGUGCGUAAUGUCUGGGAACCUGCCUGAUGGAGGGGGAUAACUACUGGAUACGGCAGCUAAUACCGCAUACCAUCCGAUUUGCCCAGAUGGGAUUAGCUGGUAGGGGGGGUAAUGGCUCACCUGGGCGCCGAUCCCCAGCUGGUCUGAGAGGAUGACCAGCCCCACUGGAACUGAGACACGGUCCAGACUCCUACGUGAGGCAGCAGUGGGGAAUAUUGGCCAAUGGGCGCAAGCCUGAUGCAGCCACGCCGCGUGUGUGAAGAAGGCCUUCGGGUUGUAAAGCUCUGUCAGCGGGGAGGCGUUACCCGCAGAAGAAGCACCGGCUAACUCCGUGCCAGCAGCCGCGGUAAUAC
rnacentral:rRNA from 1 species